CCUACGGGAGGCAGCAGUGGGGAAUAUUGCACAAUGGGGGAAACCCUGAUGCAGCGACGCCGCGUGAGUGAAGAAGUAUUUCGGUAUGUAAAGCUCUAUCAGCAGGGAAGAAGAAAGACGGUACCUGACUAAGAAGCCCCGGCUAACUACGUGCCAGCAGCCGCGGUAAUACGUAGGGGGCAAGCGUUAUCCGGAUUUACUGGGUGGAAAGGGAGCGUAGACGGCUGUGCAAGUCUGAGGUGAAAGCCCAGGGCUCAACCCUGGGACUGCUUUGGAAACUGUGGAGCUAGAGUGCUGGAGAGGUAAGUGGAAUGCCUAGUGUAGCGGUGAAAUGCGUAGAUAUUAGGAGGAACACCAGUGGCGAAGGCGGCUUACUGGACAGUAACUGACGUUGAGGCUCGAAAGCGUGGGGAGCAAACAGGAUUAGAUACCCCUGUAGUC
rnacentral:rRNA from 1 species